rnacentral:ncRNA from 1 species
ACUCCCUUGAGAGCCGUGGAAGACCACCACGUUGAUAGGCUGGGUGUGCAAGCGCGGUGACGCGUUGAGCUUACCAGUACUAAUCGCUCGAUUGAACUUGAUCGC